UUCCUUUGUUUUCUUGGUAGUUUCCCAUGGUGGCCGAGUAGCUGUGGAACAAUAAUCUCAGCACCUGUGUUGAAGAAUGUCUCCUCUGUACACUGUAGGCCAUGUGGAGGAUGUCGCCCAGAGUGGUCUCACCCAGUGGAAUUGCAAAAGUCAUACCAAAUCCAAGUCUUCUGAGUGCUGAUUCUGUUUAACUGAGUAAGGACAACUCAAUAGGGACUAGGAAUAUGGAGGAGUGUUUUGGGCACCCAUGAAACCAAGAACAUUUUUAAUAUUACCCAAAAAUAACUGUAUUUUUUCUAGAUUCAUUUUUGCUCAUUCUGCAGCUAACAUUGGCAAUAAGGAAUACCAUCAGGGCACUACUCCAAGGGCAAAAGCACAAUGUUCCCACUAGGAGCAACUGGAGGUAAAGAGCAUUCAUUUCCAGAAAUACUUAUUGGGCAAUGCUCAGUGAAAGUUCAUUAAUACUGAGAAAACAGACUACCUUUAAU
rnacentral:lncRNA from 1 species